UUUUCUUUCUUCAUUCGAAUAAGUGAGAAAUCAAAUAAAAAUUGAAUUCAUGUACACCGAAAAGCAUUUAAAAUUCAGAUCAAAGCAUGACAGUAUUAAAAUUUUAGUUCUUAAAUUUUAAUUUCAUAUAAACGGGUAUAUAUAAUUUUGCAAAUAAUUGAAAGUGGAGCGCAAAUACCGGCAAAUUUUCCGACAAAUCUUUACUUCAAAGAAUGGCAUUCCAAUGUUCACCACUGCAAGGAUCCUAGCCGAUUUCAAAUGAGACCAGAGUUGAGAUUAAAAGUUCUUUUGCACUUAUAUUCAAUUUCUGCCAAAUUCUUUGGACCUACAUAGAAGUGAGAAAACGAUUCUACCUUGAUUAUUAAACUUAUAACAAAUUAAGAGCUUAAUAGAUCUUACAUGAACUUCAAGGUCAUACGAUUAUUAAUAUUGACUUUAUUAAGCGUAUUAUAACAAUUGCCGAAUGUUUCAUAAAUUUUGUGUUUUGCUUUCCACGUGAAAUGCGUUUUUAACAAACGGUUUACGGCAAAACUCGACUUACACUUCUGCAACAAUUCCACACUCAUUGGAAUAGCAAAAAAACUAUGUACAUUUCCACUAUUCAACAAUGCGCACCUAACAACACCUGCGCACCUUAUAACAAAAUGCGUUGCAAUCACAAAUUAUUAAGCAAAAUGCUCAAUAGAAUUUGAAUUCAAUAAAUUGAUACUUUUUCAAGACGUAGUGCCUUAAAUCACUCAAGAUGACCGACGCAAAAUCAAAAAGUUGAGAAAAGGUCAUCAAACUAAACACUCGAAAUUUAUAGAGUCGCUGUUUACCGCCAUUUUGAAUUUUAAACAACUGUAAUCAGGGACUCCAUUGUCGAACAGCAUCAAGAUGCACGCCACAAAUAGGAGGAGCUCGGCUAAAGACUUAAAAAUGGUGUACACGCCAUACAACUACGAGUAAUCGUUGUUGUCUAUUUUGCGUAUUUUGCGUAUUUAAGUAUAAGUUGGAGUCUCUUGCACAUCAGGUUUUUGAGAAUAGUAGGUGUAAAAAUACGUCAAAAAACAUGUUUUUGUGAGUUUGUACGCCCAUUUUUCUCAAAACCGUGAUGGACGCUUUUGAGUUGGUGAAGACUGAUUUAAUUUGCUGCACUAACCAAUGAACACCAUCCUCCAAGCCCUCACCAGUAAUUGCAUUGCUCGGCGUUAUAUGCCAAGGCUUAUCUUCAAUAUUAUAUAAACCUAAAGCUGAUCAUUUGAAAAAAUUAAAUAUUUCUUACUUCGUUUUUGCAUUAUUUCUUAUU